GACGAACGCUGGCGGCGUGCUUAACACAUGCAAGUCGAACGGAAAGGCCCUGCUUUUGUGGGGUGCUCGAGUGGCGAACGGGUGAGUAACCCGUGAGUAACCUGCCCUUGACUUUGGGAUAACUUCAGGAAACUGGGGCUAAUACCGGAUCGGAGCUCCUGCUGCAUGGUGGGGGUUGGAACGUUUCGGCGGUUGGGGAUGGACUCGCGGCUUAUCAGCUUGUUGGUGGGGUAGUGGCUUACCAAGGCAUUGACGGGUAGCCGGCCUGAGAGGGUGACCGGCGACAUUGGGACUGAGAGACGGCGCAGACUCCUACGGGAGGCAGCAGUGGGGAAUAUUACACAAUGGGCGGAAGCCUGAUGCAGCAACGCCGCGUGCGGGAUGACGGCCUUCGGGUUGUAAACCGCUUUCGCCUGUGACGAAGCGUGAGUGACGGUAAUGGGUAAAGAAGCACCGGCUAACUACGUG
rnacentral:rRNA from 1 species